UAGCCGUAAGUGAACCUGCGGAAGGAUCAUUCAUAAUAAGUGUUUUAUGGCACUUUUUAAAAUCCAUAUCCACCUUGUGUGCAAUGUCAGUUAUUCCUUGCGAAUAACUAAACAUCAACCUAACUUAAUCUAUAGUCUGAAAAAUAUUAUGAAUAACUAAUUCAAAAUACAACUUUCAACAACGGAUCUCUUGGCUCUC
rnacentral:misc_RNA from 1 species